rnacentral:rRNA from 1 species
UACGUAGGGGGCAAGCGUUGUCCGGAUUUAUUGGGCGUAAAGAGCGUGUAGGCGGCCAGAUAGGUCCGUUGUGAAAACUCGAGGCUCAACCUCGAGACGCCGAUGGAAACCAUUUGGCUAGAGUCCGGAAGAGGAGAGUGGAAUUCCCGGUGUAGCGGUGAAAUGCGCAGAUAUCAGGAAGAACACCCGUGGCUAAGGCGGCUCUCUAGUACGGUACUGACGCUGAGACGCGAAAGCGUGGGGAGCGAACAGG